GUGCUCAGUCGGGCAGCACAUAUACUACAAUUGGGAUGGCACCGAGAGAAUUAGCAUGGCCUCUGAGCAAGGAUGGCAUGCAAAUUCAUGAAGCGUUCCAUGUUUUC
rnacentral:snRNA from 1 species